rnacentral:rRNA from 1 species
GACGAACGCUGGCGGCGUGCUUAACACAUGCAAGUCGAACGAAAAUACCAAGCUUGCUUGGUUGAUUAGUGGCGAACGGGUGAGUAACACGUGAGUAACCUGCCCCUUACUUUCCUGGAUAACUGCUCGAAAGGGUAGCUAAUACGGGAUAUUCUGACCAGCCUGCAUGGGUUGGUUUGGAAAGGUUGUUUUUCUGGUAAGGGAUGGGCUCGCGGCCUAUCAGCUUGUUGGUGGGGUGAUGGCCUACCAAGGCUUUGACGGGUAGCCGGCCUGAGAGGGUGGACGGUCACACUGGGACUGGGAUACGGCCCAGACUCCUACGGGAGGCAGCAGUGGGGAAUAUUGCACAAUGGGCGCAAGCCUGAUGCAGCGACGCCGCGUGAGGGAUGAAGGCCUUCGGGUUGUAAACCUCUUUCGUCAGGGAACAAGGCACUGCUUUUUUGGUGGUGUUGAGGGUACCUGGAUAAGAAGCGCCGGCUAACUACGUG